UACCAGCACCCCCGAGUGGUCGGGGCGAUUAUUGGGCCUAAAGCAUCCGUAGCCGGUUCUGCAAGUCCCCCGUUAAAUCCAGCUGCUCAACAGAUGGGCCGCGGAGGAUACUACAGAGCUAGGAGGCAGGAGAGGCAAGCGGUACUCAGUGGGUAGGGGUAAAAUCCGUUGAUCCAUUGAAGACCACCAGUGGCGAAGGCGGCUUGCCAGAACGCGCUCGACGGUGAGGGAUGAAAGCUGGGGGAGCAAACCGG
rnacentral:rRNA from 1 species